rnacentral:rRNA from 1 species
GAUGAACGCUGGCGGCGUGCUUAACACAUGCAAGUCGAACGAAGCACUUUAUUUGAUUUCCUUCGGGACUGAUUAUUUUGUGACUGAGUGGCGGACGGGUGAGUAACGCGUGGGUAACCUGCCUUGUACAGGGGGAUAACAGUUGGAAACGGCUGCUAAUACCGCAUAAGCGCACAGCAUCGCAUGAUGCAGUGUGAAAAACUCCGGUGGUAUAAGAUGGACCCGCGUUGGAUUAGCUAGUUGGUGAGGUAACGGCCCACCAAGGCGACGAUCCAUAGCCGAACUGAGAGGGUGACCGGCAACAGUGGGACUGAGACACGGCCCAAACUCCUACGGGAGGAAGCAGUGGGGAAUAUUGCACAAUGGGCGAAAGCCUGAUGCAGCGACGCCGCGUGAGCGAAGAAGUAUUUCGGUAUGUAAAGCUCUAUCAGCAGGGAAGAUAAUGACGGUACCUGACUAAGAAGCACCGGCUAAAUACGUG